CUAGACCUAGAAACUAAUAUUUGGAUACUGUAGUCACAAUAUUCAAGCUUACUUCACCUUUCUAGUGCUUGUUAGACACUUUACUUUGUUGCUGUCCUUGCUUGUCCUUGGAUGUUCUGUAUGUCUGCUGAUUCGGUACCUUAUUGCCAACCCAGAUUGUCUCCUGUUUCCUCCAAAUGACUUUUGAAUUGCAGCCUGAAAGCUGUUAGUCUGUUUUGUCUCCCUUAUAUUGCGGUUAAAGGCUGAUUUUUUUUAUUUUAUUUUUACAUGCAAAUAUGACUAUUUAUGUGGUAAGGACAAUAUAAUUUUAUGUGUAACAUUUCUUUUUUUUUCUUUUUUU